UAACCCCACCGGAAUAUUCCCCUCUCACUGCCCGUUACCAAACACACCUCGCCCUUUCCCGAAAACUAUAAAUACUUCGCUUCUUCGCUUUCCUGUCCUUGCCCUAGAAACCCCAUUUCGCCGCAACAUGCUUUUCCCAGCAAAAUCCCCAAUUUUCUCACUCUUUCCCUCACUUUCUCGCACCAAAUCCACGAUUUCCCGCACAUUUUCCCGAGAAAAUUCGCCCAAAUGGUCAUCGCUAGCUCGCCUUUAGCUGAUUCCGCCCCGUUAUGGAUCGAAAGGCGGUGUUCGGCGGCUACUGCUGUGAAUUUAUCGGCUGAGUAUAGUAAAUUUAUCGGUUGAGUAUUGUGUAUUUAUUGUGUUUUGGUGAUGGAAGCGGUGGACGUGAGUUUUCCGGUGGAUGUUGCCGCGGUGCCAAAGUUUCUGGGGGUGGAGGCGCUUGUGAGAGCUGGGGUUACAGUCAAGGAACUUGAGCCUUGUGAUUCGGACCGCGUUUCCGUUCGUGUUAGCGCUUACGCUGAGGCUUGCAGCUCAUCUUUGAGGGAUAAAGAGGUAACGAAUGCGGUUAGUACUUCAGAGUAUGAAUCAACUAAGAUCAGUGAUCUGAUGAGCCAGUGCAAGAAUCAGGGUGAAGAAUCGUCCAGGCACCUACAUGGCAGGGGCAAAAGUGGUUUUUUGUUGGAUACUGGUGUUGAAAGCAUACAGUUAGAAAAACCAGGGAAGGUGUCAAAAUUGGUUAGUUUGUCAUCUAAGAGACCACGUGUUGAUCGAUUGGAAGAUCCAACGAGCGUUGCUGCUGAUGUUGAUGGGAUAAAGGAUAUGUCAUUUAAGCUUGGACCGGUACUUACAAAGUGUGGUUCUUCAGAUAAGACUCAAUUGGUGAAACCAAAGAAUAACUUUACAAGCAAGCGAGGUGAAAAGAGAAAUCUCAAACUUCCUGCAAAGACAAAACAAGAUUCCUUCUCUAUAAAGCCAGGUUUGGCAAGCUUCAGUUCAGCUGCUGGUGGAAACAACUUUUAUGGAGUACAUGGCCUUAAGUCAGAUAAUCAUGAUGUUACAAAGCUGGUAGAUGAUGUGCGACUAAAUGAACUCCUUGAUGGGACAUACAAGUGUCCUAGUUUAAGCAGGGGAAAAGGGAAGAAACCAGCGAAUGUAAACGAUAGUUUUCUGCAUGCAGUUAAAAAGGCUUGUUCUACCCUUCAGCAGGCGAGGUCUGUCCAGCCCCAACUUAUUGCUGAGGUAGAAGGCAAUUCUGACAAGGUAAUGUCACCGUGGCCGUUAAGCACGACUUCUGUUGCAGCUUCUGGUGUCGGUGGUGAUAAAGGAGAACCAUUCAUCACAGAUUUGUCUUCAUGUAAUGAGGAUUCUCAUAGAAAGCCCGUAGCUCCUGUUAAUCCCCUUGAUUUGCCAUUGUGUGAACCUAAGUAUGUUUUGGAACGCUUGGCCCUUCCUCCACACAAGGAUUUGGAAUCUGUGCUUUUGGAUGCUGCAAAACCUGCUUCAUCUUCCAAAAAUACUCCUGAUCCAUGUUCAGGCAAGCAAAUAUCUCGCCGAGCAAGCUUGCCUUCUUUUCCAUGGUCACAUACUUCUAAUGGACACUGUAGAUCCAGUUCCGAUGCAGCCAAACAGUCCAUAAGCAGGGGCACAUGCCAAGGCCGAUGGCUAAGAGUUGACAAAAAUAUUCUUAGUUCAUUGGGGAAUGCCACUGAUAAUUUGACAGACUUGGAGUCACUAACCUAUGAUCAGAGUCUAGUUCCUUCCGCAAGACUAAAAGUUUCUGGUUCCCAAAAUAAAGUUUCCCCAUCCAUAUCUGUUAGUUUUUCUCGAUGUCAGCGAGAUUCAUUAUCUAAUACGACACCUUCGAAUGAUUCCUACAUUCCACAAGAAUCUGGAGGCAAGCUGAAUCAUUCAGGAGAUUGUAAUGAUGAGAAUUGUCCAAAAGUAUUAAGUGCUGCUCAAACACUCUGUGACAUGGCAACUCUUACCUCUAGUAAAAAUCCAGAUGGAAUCAUAAGAUGGCCAAAGAAGCCUUCACAAAAAGCCAUGAAAGCUCGGAAGUUGAAAUCAAUUGAGAAACCUGAAGAAGCAUAUGGGACAUCAGUUGCGGUAUCUGGGUCCGACAAUCCCAGGAGAAGCGUGGAUCAGAUGCUGCCCCCAAAGAAGCCCAAGCUCUCUUUGAUUGAUGAUAAAAGGGAUUUCACUAAUUUUAGUUCUGUAAGGCAAGGAACAAUAACUUGGUCUACGCCCAGAUCAAGUAGGUCAUCGCCUGGCAGGUCUGUUAAGGAGUCAGUUGCGGAUAUUAAACAUUCAACUGCAGAUGUCGUGAAGCAUUCUUAUAUGAUGCCACCACCAGCUUGGGUUCCGGAAAAGACAUCAAACAAACGAGAGAAGCAAAGGAAGUUGUUGACAACGGAAUGGAACAAAGGAAGGGAUCGGCUAGAUUGAUGAAUACUGUCUCAAUAUUGUUAAAGAUAUAUCCUACCGACAAGAAGCUAAGGAACUAACGGAUCGUAGGAGGAUGCUCUCUCCCACAAAAUUCAAAGGCUUUUAUUUGUUUUCUGCCAAUCAGGGACAUGUCGAACUUGAACAAGCUCGAUUUCACCGCUCUGGAAGUAUCUGGAAGAAACUACUUGAAGUGGAUUCAAGAUGUGAAGCUCCAUCUUACUGCAAAGGGUAUUAGUGCCACCAUCGAGGUACCUACCGACAACAAACCUGUUGACGAAUCUUAGAAAGCUAAUGCAAUGAUCUUGAUUUGAAGACACAUCUAUGAUGCACUUCAGAUUGAGCACGUCGCUAAGGAGGACCCACGCACCCUCUGGUUUGCUUUGGCCGAUCAUUUUGAUCACCAGAAAGACAUCUACUUGCCUGAAGCAAGACACAACUGGCAGCAUCUUCACUUCUAAGACUUUAAGUCCGUGAAUGAAUACAACUCUGAAGUUUGUAGAAUCCGAUCACUACUGAAGUUCUGUAAAGUGGAAUUAACCAAAUUAGAUCUCCUGGAGAAGAUCUAUUUAACCUUCCAUACCACCAAUAUUGUCCUGCAACAACAAUAUAGGGCAUAGAAGUUCACCAAAAUUUCGGUUUUGAUCUC